AAGAGUACCCUGAGGAAACAGCUGGCUGAGAAGCUGCUGGGGAAAUGGGAAGGCCAGAGCUGAGAGGCUGGAGACAGCAGGAAAAUCCCUGCCUGCAUGAUUAGGAGGAGGCAGAAAAAAAGGAGAGCUGAUGGAAGAAACAUCAAGAGAAGAAGGCUAAACCAUGAAGGAAAGGAAUGAAGGAUGUUCUCAUACCUAGGUUGGAGGAAGAUGCACAUUUGAAGAUAUACAAGCCAUGGCCAGAGAACAAGCCAGGCACUCAAAGAUCCAGGGAGAAAAAGAGAGCAUGUACUGAAUGAGAGGCUGCUGGAGAAGAAAGGAGGACCAGAAGAACUGUAAGGUCUUGGUUAAGGAUAUUAUGCAUGAGCAGUACGAAGGGAGAAACACCUUUAAUCGGAUCCAAAAUUACAUUUCCCCCAAAACAGCCAGCAACAACCCUCCUGUUAAUUGUAUUGAUUGAGUGAUUAAGUGCUGUCAAGUUGGUGUCAACUCUUAGCAACCACAUA